rnacentral:tRNA from 1 species
GGAUUGUGGCUCAGAGGUAGAGCAUUUGCCUAGCACACAUGAGGCACUGGAUUCAAUUCUCAGCACCA